rnacentral:lncRNA from 1 species
CUUCCUAAGGAAUUGCUGUAUCACGGUCUAGGGGAGUUUCCGAGCUCUGAGAAGUUUCUCUACAGCUUCUGAGGUGAGGAUCCACCCUGCAUGAAGGAUACUGGGCCACUCAGGCCUUCUCCCACUCCGCGGCAGGAUCCUAGCGCCUGAGGACACUGGAGCCAUUCCAGGUGAGAUCGGCUGUGUGACUAGCCUGCAGUGCAGCAGACAUUUGUGUAGGGCGUCUCUCCACACAUCAGAUGAGCUUCUUGACUCAGGCUAAUUUGAGCCUGUUUCAUUAUGACCUGGGUGAGAAGACACCCGAAGCCAGAGAGCACUUUGGUGCUUUUUAUGACCUUGAGAGUUUCUCUUCCUAAUAAGCUGUUUCCUGGCAUCAUUCUAGCCAAGCCCCCUUUCCCGUUUGAUAACCAAUGUUGCUGUGUUGCCAUUCCCCUCCCCUGAGUUUAAAACAUUUGACAACCUGCAUUCUAAAUGAAAAAAAUCCUGAUAUGCAACCAGUCUUGUCUUUCACAAAACUAAACAAGAGUUUCUCUUUGGCUUAACAAAAUCUUAGAGCAGCCAACCUUGGAGUGUAUUUUAGUUACUUUACAUCCAAACUGUAGGAUUUAGUGAAAAGCCAUGUGUUUACUACCAUGAAGUAGAAAUGUGUUGAAAACACACCAUCCAAUUGCUAUGGUGCAGGCUCUUCUAACAGCCUAUCGGAACUUCCUUCACUUCACAAAUGAUACACUCUAGGGUAGAACUUCCUAUUUUUAAAACCGCAUAAAUUCCCCCACCCAUUCCCCUUACAACACUUCAACAAUCUGAUUACGUCGUAUUUUCAUUUUCCUACUGUGAUUGACGCUUUAUGUGAAACCUCACCAAGCUCUGAGAAACUCCUAGGAAUGCAGUCACACUAAGUGAGAUCCACUUUUGCUGUUUUUCCUUGAUUUGAAGGUCAGAUGGACAUUCAGUAUUUUCCCCAGUUGGGUUCACUGCAAACAGGAUCAGUCUGGAAAACAUAUUCUUGUCCCAUGACGAGAAUCCAGAGGGAACUAUGUUUGCCUUUUCAUUGAUGUGAUUAUCAAUGUGGAUUUUGUAGUUUAAAAACAAAGCAACUCCAUUUUGCAACUGCAUUCUCCAUAGAAAUUUGACCUUUGGUGGGGCUGACUAAUCUUAUCAACAAAUCGGUCCCACAAUGAUUAUUCCACCCAUUAAUUCUCAGCAACAAAUGGUAAGCAAGAUGGCCAGGAAGGAUGACUGACUCCCUCGCAGGCUCGGCCAGGCUUCAGGCCCUAUCUUUGGAUCUGUGUUCAUCAUGGUGAUUGUCAACUGCAAGCCUGAUUUGAUAGCCUUUCCUCUCGUGGUAUUACUCGGAGGUAAUGUGCAAGCAGAGAGACCCGGAUGCAAAUUCUGCUCUAUAGUUGACCAUUAUCUUACAAUGAUCUCAGUUUCCCAUAACACCAAUUUCUAUGUUUUCCAUUUAUAAACACCUGUAAUUCGCCUUGCUUGGCUUUGUGAUGUGUGAGU